rnacentral:rRNA from 1 species
UACGGAGGGUGCAAACGUUGCUCGGAAUCAUUGGGCGUAAAGCGCACGUAGGCGGCUAGGUCCGUCCGAUGUGAAAGCCCCCGGCUCAACCGGGGAAUUGCAUCGGAUACAGCCUGGCUCGAGGACGGUUGGGGUGAGUGGAACUCCUGGUGGAGCGGUGAAAUGCGUAGAUAUCAGGAGGAACACCGGUGGCGAAAGCGGCUCACUGGACCGUUUCUGACGCUGAGGUGCGAAAGCUAGGGGAGCAAACGGG